rnacentral:rRNA from 1 species
UCCGUAGGUGGAUAAUUAAGUCAGAGGUGAAAUCUCAUAGCUUAACUAUGAAACUGCCAUUGAUACUGCAGGUCUUGAGUAAGGUAGAAGUAGCUGGAAUAAGUAGUGUAGCGGUGAAAUGCAUAGAUAUUACUUAGAACACCAAUUGCGAAGGCAGGUUACUAUGUCUUAACUGACGCUGAUGGACGAAAGCGUGGGGAGCGAACAGGAUUAGAUACCCUGGUAGUCC